UGGAUGACAACUUUUCCCGUGUUUUUUUUCUUUCCCAUUCCCAAACUAUUUUUUUCUUUCUCUCCUCUCUCCUCUCCUGUUUUCUCCGAAUUUCGACUUCGACGGAUCAAAUUCUUCAUCGUCUCUUUUCUUAUCAUGUCUCUCUUCUCAUACGAUCCACAAGAUUCGUGAUCGAAGAGGUGUCAGAAAAUCCACCGGAAGAGCUACUCUUACCGGCUUUGCUGAGGUCAACGAUGUGGCGCUGUUUUUCGGUGGAUUGGUUAGAAUGUUGAUGCUCAUAGGAUCCUGCUUGUGGGUUCGUCUGCUGGUUGAAUUUGAUGGCAAGUUAAAGUCUGGUGCUUUUGAUCUGACUUAAAUAAUGCUUCCACCUUCUCUAAAUCACUCCAGUGCCGACAUUACUUGUAUAAAAGAGACCACAUGUUUUAAGUCACCACAAGUUUGUACUUUGGUUUGAAUGCUUGUACACCACAAAAUAAUAUUCCGAAAACACUAGUUCUUAUUGUGUAUUCUAUGACAUCACUUGUAUGCUAAACAAUAAUUUUGUUUUCA